rnacentral:rRNA from 1 species
AACGAACGCUGGCGGCAGGCUUAACACAUGCAAGUCGAGCGCCCCGCAAGGGGAGCGGCAGACGGGUGAGUAACGCGUGGGAAUCUACCGUGCCCUACGGAAUAGCUCCGGGAAACUGGAAUUAAUACCGUGUACGCCCUUUGGGGGAAAGAUUUAUCGGGGUAUGAUGAGCCCGCGUUGGAUUAGCUAGUUGGUGGGGUAAAGGCCUACCAAGGCGACGAUCCAUAGCUGGUCUGAGAGGAUGAUCAGCCACAUUGGGACUGAGACACGGCCCAAACUCCUACGGGAGGCAGCAGUGGGGAAUAUUGGACAAUGGGCGCAAGCCUGAUCCAGCCAUGCCGCGUGAGUGAUGAAGGCCCUAGGGUUGUAAAGCUCUUUCACCGGUGAAGAUAAUGACGGUAACCGGAGAAGAAGCCCCGGCUAACUUCGUGCCAGCAGCCGCGGUAA